UUCUUGGACCGUAGCGAGACGUCCGACUGCGAAAGCAUUUGCCAAGAAUGUCUUCAUUAAUCAAGAACGAAAGUCAGAGGUUCGAAGGCGAUCAGAUACCGCCCUAGUUCUGACCGUAAACGAUGCCAACCAGCGUUCCGUCGUCGGUAAAUACGCCUUGACGGGCAGCUUCCCGGAAACGAAAGUCUUCCGGUUCCGGGGGAAGUAUGGUUGCAAAGCUGAAACUUAAAGAAAUUGACGGAAGGGCACCACCAGGAGUGGAGCCUGCGGCUUAAUUUGACUCAACACGGGAAAACUCACCUGGCCCGGACACCGUGAGGAUUGACAGAUUGAUAGCUCUUUCUUGAUUCGGUGGUUGGUGGUGCAUGGCCGUUCUUAGUUGGUGGAGUGAUUUGUCUGGUUUAUUCCGAUAACGAGCGAGACUCUAGCCUACUAAAUAGUUACUGAAUAAUUCAGUUCAGACAACUUCUUAGAGGGACAAGCGGUGUUCAGCCGCACGAAAUUGAGCAAUAACAGGUCUGUGAUGCCCUUAGAUGUCCAGGGCUGCACGCGCGCUACACUGGAGGAAUCAGCGUGUUGUAUCCAUUGCCGAAAGGUAUUGGUAACCCGUUGAAAAUCCUCCGUGAUCGGGAUCGGGAAUUGCAAUUAUUUCCCUUGAACGAGGAAUUCCCAGUAAGAGUGAAUCAUUAGCUCACGUUGAUUACGUCCCUGCCCUUUGUACACACCGCCCG
rnacentral:rRNA from 1 species